rnacentral:rRNA from 1 species
UAUACUGCAAGUCGAGCGCAGGAAGCAAGUUGAUCCCCUUCGGGGGUGACGCUUGUGGAAUGAGCGGCGGACGGGUGAGUAACACGUGGGCAACCUGCCUGUAAGACUGGGAUAACCCCGGGAAACCGGGGCUAAUACCGGAUAAUACUUUCUUUUGCAUAAAGGAAAGUUGAAAGGCGGCUUCGGCUGUCACUUACAGAUGGGCCCGCGGCGCAUUAGCUAGUUGGUGAGGUAACGGCUCACCAAGGCGACGAUGCGUAGCCGACCUGAGAGGGUGAUCGGCCACACUGGGACUGAGACACGGCCCAGACUCCUACGGGAGGCAGCAGUAGGGAAUCUUCCGCAAUGGACGAAAGUCUGACGGAGCAACGCCGCGUGAGUGAUGAAGGUUUUCGGAUCGUAAAACUCUGUUGUUAGGGAAGAACAAGUACGAUAGUAACUGAUCGUACCUUGACGGUACCUAACCAGAAAGCCACGGCUAACUACGUGCCAGCAGCCGCGGUAAUACGUAGGUGGCAAGCGUUGUCCGGAAUUAUUGGGCGUAAAGCGCUCGCAGGCGGUCCUUUAAGUCUGAUGUGAAAUCUCGCGGCUCAACCGCGAACGGUCAUUGGAAACUGGAGGACUUGAGUACAGAAGAGGAGAGUGGAAUUCCACGUGUAGCGGUGAAAUGCGUAGAGAUGUGGAGGAACACCAGUGGCGAAGGCGACUCUCUGGUCUGUAACUGACGCUGAGGAGCGAAAGCGUGGGGAGCGAACAGGAUUAGAUACCCUGGUAGUCCACGCCGUAAACGAUGAGUGCAGG